rnacentral:rRNA from 1 species
AGAGUUUGAUCCUGGCUCAGAACGAACGUUAGCGGCGCGCCUAACACAUGCAAGUCGAACGCGACUGGGGGCAACUCCAGUUGAGUGGCGCACGGGUGAGUAACACGUAGGUAAUCUCCCCCCGAGUGGUGGAUAACCUUCCGAAAGGAGGGCUAAUACAGCAUAAGACCACGGCUUCGAAAGAAGCUGAGGUCAAAGCGGAGGAUCGCAAGACUUCGCGCUUGGGGAUGAGCCUGCGGCCCAUCAGGUAGUUGGCGGAGUAAAAGCCCACCAAGCCUAAGACGGGUAGCUGGUCUGAGAGGAUGAUCAGCCACACUGGAACUGAGACACGGUCCAGACUCCUACGGGAGGCAGCAGUGGGGAAUCUUGCGCAAUGGACGAAAGUCUGACGCAGCGACGCCGCGUGGGUGAUGAAGGCCUUCGGGUUGUAAAGCCCUGUGGGGAGGGACGAAUAAGUCCAGCUAAUACCUGGAGCGAUGACGGUCCUCCUUAGCAAGCACCGGCUAACUCUGUGCCAGCAGCCGCGGUA